rnacentral:rRNA from 1 species
AGACGUCUACAUUAGAUACCCCCGUAGUCCCAACCGUAAACUAUGCGCGUUAGGUGUAUCGGUGACCACGAGUUACCGAGGUGCCGAAGGGAAACCGUGAAACGUGCCGCCUGGGAAGUACGGUCGCAAGGCUGAAACUUAAAGGAAUUGGCGGGGAGCACCACAACAGGUGGAGCCUGCGGUUUAAUUGGACUCAACGCCGGGAAGCUCACCGGAUAGGACAGCAGAAUGAUUGCCGGGCUGAAGACCCUGCAUGACUAGCUG